rnacentral:rRNA from 1 species
AGUGAGGAAUAUUCGGCAAUGGAGGCAACUCUGACCGAGCAACGCCGCGUGGAGGAUGACGGUUUUUGGAUUGUAAACUCCUUUUCUCAGGGAAGAGUGAGGACGGUACCUGAGGAAUAAGUCACGGCUAACUACGUGCCAGCAGCCGCGGUAAUACGUAGGUGGCAAGCGUUAUCCGGAAUUACUGGGCGUAAAGCGCACGCAGGUGGUUUUCUAAGAUUGACGUGAAAACUCUUGGCUUAACUGAGAGACGUCGUUGAUGACUGGAAGACUUGAGGCGAGGAGAGGGGUGUAGAAUUCCCGGUGUAGUGGUGGAAUGCGUAGAUAUCGGGGGGAAUACCAGUGGCGAAAGCGGCACCCUGGCCUUGGCCUGACGCUCAGGUGCGAAAGCGUGGGGAGCGAA